rnacentral:lncRNA from 1 species
CACAUAGUGACUGUGCAAGGCAGGACUUAGCCCUGGAGACGGGCAUGAAUCCAUGAGGCUAAGGAUUUGCCCAGAACACCAGCGAGCCUUGUCUGGCUCAUCACCUUCGCUGGCCUUAGAUGCAAGGACGUAUGAUGCUAAGAAAGGCAGGAGGGCCAUGUCUGCCACGGCAGUAGAGAAGCUGAGAAAACCUGGCUGUGGAAGAAAGCAUGAGACAGAAGAGCAGAGAAGCCAAGAUGGAACCCAUAAGAGAGGGGCUGGACCGAACGGUCCCGGUCUGUCUCAAGGGGCAAUGUGCGAUGAUCAAGGACACUUGAAGAAUGUAGCAAAUAUAAGAGGGGCCUGGCUGUCUGUGGCGUCCCCACCAGAGGUGGCCUGGAGAUGGCCUUGGCCAUCUUGGGAAGGCCCCCAGAUAUUGGCGGUGGCGCACAGGAAGGGGGAGGGGCCGAGACAGGCAGACACCGAUGGACUUAAGGGAACAAGUGACAGCUGGAAGAGCAUCAGAGGUGGGCAACCCUGACAAGCUCCAUGAGGACCCUGAGGAGGUGAUGGAGGCCCAGAUGGGGACUGACCUGCCCGACGUCCUGGACCGAGGUUUUCCCAAACCUGAGCUCUGUGCACAGCACCACCCGGCCUCGGGGUCUC